UGGUAGGAGUCCGAUUGCUAGAGAAGUUCGUCUGAGAUUUGCCUGAUGUGGAAGCUCGUCUGAAGAUUAUCCAUUAGAGAAGUCCGAUUUCAUGAAGAAUCUGGUGGAGGGUCGGCUGGCAGUGGACCUCGGAUGGCGUUGGGGAGGUUUGACAGACACCGGAGGUGAUCGAUCGUUGUAGAAAUUCAGCUGCUGGAGUCCAUCCGUUGUAGAAGCUCGUCCGAUAUCCAUCCGCUAUGAAAGUUCAGACGGAGUCUGGUUCUUGUAGAAGUCAGAAAGAAGAUCGCUUAUUGUAGAAGCUCGGUUGAAGAUCAAUUAUCGUGGGA
rnacentral:lncRNA from 1 species